rnacentral:rRNA from 1 species
AGGACGAACGCUGGCGGCGUGCUUAACACAUGCAAGUCGAGCGAUGAUCCUCCUUCGGGAGGUGAUCAGCGGCGAACGGGUGAGUAACACGUGGGCAACCUGCCCCUCACACUGGGAUAACCUCGGGAAACCGGGGCUAAUACCGGAUACGACCUCGAGCGGCAUCUCUUGAGGUGGAAAGCUCCGACGGUGAGGGAUGGGCCCGCGGCCUAUCAGCUUGUUGGUGGGGUAAUGGCCUACCAAGGCGACGACGGGUA